UACGUAGGGGGCAAGCGUUGUCCGGAAUCAUUGGGCGUAAAGAGCGUGUAGGCGGCCAGAAAAGUCCGCUGUGAAAACUCGAGGCUCAACUUCGAGCUGUCGGUGGAAACUUUCUGGCUAGAGUCCGGAAGAGGAGAAUGGAAUUCCUGGUGUAGCGGUGAAAUGCGCAGAUAUCAGGAAGAACACCCGUGGCGAAGGCGGUUCUCUGGGACGGUACUGACGCUCAGGCACGAAAGCAUGGGGAGCAAAAGGG
rnacentral:rRNA from 1 species